UGCCCUCCCACCCUGGUGGUGAGGAAGAGAGAAGCUUCUGUUUACAGAGGCAGAAACUUGUAUUUACCGACAACAUACUGUGAACCAGGCAUGGUACUCGAACUUACGGUUGCAAGUUGACAGCAGGACUCAUGCACACUUGAGUCCUGGGGUUAAAAAGGGUUGGGGGGGCAGCGGCAUCCCCAGGCCUGCAUCUAACUUGAGGCCUCCCUCCCUAGUCUCCUCCACUCCAUUCCUGGAAGAAGAGAGCCAGCGAAUGCAAAGCCCCUAGGAGAUCUGGAAAUCAGCAGGGCUGGAAACCAGAGAAGGAGGGAGGGCCAGCCAGGGAGUGCCCUGAUCUCUUGUGCCAGAGGCUAGGGGUACAGUGAUGAACGCAUGUUUUCAUAUGUACAAAGGGGAGUGAAUGCUUUGAAGCUGCAAACCUGAUCCUUAAAACCCUUGCCAGCAACUCUCAGGGCCCCAGCUCCUUAAACGGGUUUGCUGCUCCGCUUCAUCUCCUACUCCUGUCUCCACUCCUUGGCCCUUCCUCCUGCUCCCCUGCAUCAGGCCCUUUCCUCCUCAGGACCAUGCCCGACCCGGUUUGCUGGGCAAGCUCAGCCUUGGCAUCAUCUCUUGCCCUGUUGCACAUCAUGCAGCUCCUUUUAUUAUACUGAUCACGUGUGUGCUAAGAGCCUGUGGUAGAUACAUACUGUGAAUAUGAGGCAGACAGGGUAAGGGGGUCUGGGGAGAAAGAGAACCAGGCUUGGCUUUCUGGCCAUAAGAGGAGGUCGUUGGGGGGAGUUCCCUGGCAGCCUAGUGUUUAAGGAUCUGACAUUAUCACUGCUGUGACUCAGGUUGCUGCUGUGGUGGAGGUUCGAUCCCUAGCCCAGGAACUUCCACAUGCCAUGGGUGUGACCAAAAAAAAAAAAAAAAAAAGAGGCNUGAUCCCUUGCCUUGAUCAGUGGGUCAGGGAUCUGGCAUUGCCAUGAGCUAUGGUGCAUGUCACAGAUGAGGCUCAGAUCCUGUGUAGCUGUGGUGUAGGCCGGCAGCUGCAGCUCCGAUUUGACCCCCUAGCCUGGGACCUUCCAUAAGCCGUGGGUAGGGCCCUCAAAAGAUAAAAAAAAAAAAAAAGGGCCUUUUUGACUUAAGCCAUUUUGUGAUCUAAGCCUGAACACUACAGGUCUUAACAGGCCUCCGGAGUAAUUAAAGGUCUUAAGGAAUGGGAGGAAAUGCAGGAACAAAGGAAAAGCAGUCAAGAAACAAUAGUUCAGAGAUAAAAUAGAGUCCUAGUCCCUCCUCAAGGGAUCCACAGCACAAUCUGAUUCUUAUCUCUGAGUUCUUCGGGAGGGGGCUAAGGGCCCCACCCAGGUCGAGGAUGGAACAAGGACGGGACUUUUCUGACUUCAGUCAACUAAAGCUCGAACUCGGUUGACCUCUGCCCCCGUUCUGUGCUGAAUUCUCCAUGGCUCAAGCCCCUUCAUGAAUGUGUGUACCUUUAGCUUGAAAAUGCCCCAGUUUUGCUGGGGAGACACACGGCUUUGGGAAAGAUCGCUCGUGUUCAAAUUCUUCCUUCUCCCACGGUCUCGUUUGGUUGUCUCUUUAGGCCAACCCAGUUCUUAGGUAACAUAGUUUUCCAUGGGUCCGUUCAUGCAGUCCCUACCACGCCAUCACGUG
rnacentral:lncRNA from 1 species